rnacentral:tRNA from 1 species
GGCAUGGCCAAGCGGUAAUGCAGAGGACUACAAAUCCUUUAUUCCCAGUACAAAUCUGGGUGCC